rnacentral:lncRNA from 1 species
AAAAAAAUCAUAAUAAUUAGCGGCACAUGGGGGUGCACACCUGUAGUCCCAGUUACUUGGGAGGCUGAGGUAGGAGGAUCGCUUGAGCCCAGGAGUUCAGGGUUGCAGUGAGCCAUGAUUGCCACUGCACUCCAACGUGGGCAACAGAGUGAGACCCUGUCUCUGUUUUUAUAAAAGAUAUUCAGAUAGUCAGCAUUGUUAGCCAUUAGGGAAAUGCAUAUUAAGGGCACAACGAGACAUCACCACACUGCAAUCAGAAUGGCUAAAAUUAAAAACAGCAACAGCGCCGAAAGCUGGCGAGGCUGCACAGAAACUGCGCAGUGGAAAGGUAAGACGGCCACUCUAGCACACAACUUGGCAGUUUCUUUUCUUUAUUUUAAGUAGCUUUAUUGAAAUAUAAUUCACACUCCUUAUAAUUCACCCAUUUAAAGUGUACAAUUCAGAGGCCGGGCGCGGUGGCUCACGCCUGUAAUCCCAGCACUUUCGGAGGCCGAGGCAGGCAGAUCACAAGGUCAGGAGAUC